AAACUGGAAUUUUUUUAAUGUUCAAUUAUACUGGUAAUUUCUGAUGAUGAGACAAUGUAACAGGUUUUCAUCUCUUUGUAUUUUUUUCUCCAUAUAUUCUGGUAAAAAUUAUACAUCCAGGCAUCCUUCUCUUAGAUGAAUUUUAAAUAAAUCUAAGUCACACUAUAUACAAUUAUUUUCUUGCAGCUUAGUUUCUUAAAACAGGCCCAUAAGCUAAGUAACCUUAAACUAUGUAUCAAGAAAAUGUAGAGCCUCACUGAAAUAGAAAAAAAAGGCCU
rnacentral:lncRNA from 1 species